UUUAGGGUGCCAGAUUAUAUGGGUGUGGUUUAGGACCAUAGGAUGGCAUUUUUGUCCUCUAAAG
rnacentral:tRNA from 1 species